CAAAGACAAAUAGUAUUGCCACAGCUGAAGAGAAUAUAAUAAAAUAAUACAGAGACUAUAUGCGUAGUGGGAAACAGCUACAAUUCCACGUGUUUGCCCACGUAAAAUGAUUUAAUUUCUCUUCCGAAUAUUUUACGUCCACGAAAUAUACAGAUAUAGGUUUUAUAUUUUUCGACAAUUCUAACAAAAAUAGUAGUAUUGGACUGUCUUGGUCACGCGUUGGCACACGCAGUAACUGCGGCUUUAGGAAACGAGACGUGAUUAGAGUGGGAUAUGGAUUAUUUAAAAAGGCGGCUUCUAAUGAAUUAAAGGACUUAAAUCUUAGCAUCUAUGGGAUGCUUCCAUCUUCAGCUUUUGAUUUAGACCGUCGAUUGCUGGUCCUAGGAGGACUUUUGCAUAACAAUUAACCAAGAGUAAACACAUUUUGACGUAUAUUAGUAUAUUCAGUUAUAGCAAACUUUCGACGAAAAGAUAAUUCUACAGACAAAUGCACUUUGCUUUAUGGUUUGACCAAAUUUAAAUCUUCUGUGGAUCUUUUAAAUAGCUGUACUUACAGCCGCUAGUAAUGGUUUUGCUAGUUUUAGACAUUAUACGUGUAUACGACGUUAAAAAGUCUAGCUCGUUACAUUUUAGUUUACCCCCUUUACUAAUCUCAGAAAUGACGUCGUGCUACUUAGUGAUCCGAUAAGAGCAGCAUUAACGCUGUAUCUUAGAAGAACUCUUAGUGUAAUUGUGAUUUAAAGAAAAAGAAAAAAUGGAAUUACCACAAGAGGUGCCUCUUACUUAAGAGUUGGAAGAGCUGUGUCUUAGAGGACAGGUGUCGCUAUGAAAGAAAAAACAGAAGUCUUUCCUCUCUUCGUCUGUAUAUCUUCCUCGCCAUCUCUCUCCCUAUAGCCUAUAACGGACCUCUCCUUCCUCAGAUCAUAUGCUCCGGCGUUGUUUCUUACAACAAACUAAAGAAUAAAGAUCGUGGCUUUGAUGAAUCUGAAGCUAAUGAGUAUCGAGACCAGAAGAAAGACAAGGACUUUGAGAAUUUCGUGGGGUUGCAGCUUGGUGGUGACGGACGCGGAGUAGGUGGGUGGAUAUUGUGACGAAGUACCUCCAAGCGAAAUCAUUGUCUCUUAGCCCUUUUGGUAGAUUCACCUGCAAAACAAGACUCAGAUUGGGAAUUUCAAUGCCCCGAUCUACCUGCAAAACAAGACUCAUAUUGGGAAAAUAGAUGUAAUCAAUCUCAAUCUCAAUCUCAAAACUUUUACUUGCAAUGGCCUUGGGAUGAAGAAAUUUCUUUGGUGAAUCGCAGAACUUUUAAGUUAGGUGAUAUGUAUAGCCUUUGUACGUUGAGUUAGAGACAUCAGCCUUUGUAGCAGGGUUUGAGUAUUGAUCAUAGUCUGAGAGCAAGAGAAACCAUCAAUUUUUAGGUUCUCUGCUUCCACAAGUUUUCAUUUCUUUGUUUUUAGGUUCUAUGCUUCCAAAAAAUUUUCAUUUCCUUGUUCUCUUGUUCUUUGUUAUAUGGAAAGAUUAGAAACUUGUGUUGAAAUGUCAAUCGUCAAGUUCUAACCUAGUGCAGCAUCAACGUCCAUUAUAAAAUGUUGUAUUACCAGAAACUUGUAUAAAUGAUAUGGAUAAUGAAAAUGUAUUCACAAGAUCAAA